ACCAGAUCCCCAUUGUUUUUUUUUUCUUCCUUGUGUUAAUUUGACAACGUUAAAUGAGCAGAGUGAAAUCCAGUACUGUUCACCAGUUGACUGAUGUGAUUCUUCCUUCCCAAUAGACACUUAAGGAUUUUAUGCAUGAUUCUGCCUUUUCUUGCUUGUUAUAAUUAUGCCACUCAUUAUUUUAAGAGAAACAUGUUGGCCAAUUUAUGCCUUAAAUUUAGGCUUCUUGAGUCAUUGAUGCAUACUUACCAGCAAGUUUUUAUUUGUUAAUUUUGUUUUCUUGGUUCUCUAGUUUUAACUGGAAGCGUCACUACAAAGAAAUCCAUACUAGAAUUUCAGCUUCUACAUGUUGCAAGAGAAUUGAUUUUCUAUGCAGAAACUGACAAGCUAUGCCUGCCCCUAGCCCGAUGGAUAUUUUUAGUGUAAACAAUAUGACCAUUGAUCUUCAAAAGAGUUAUAUGGAAGCACUUUAGACUCGGAUGAAGUUUUGGGUUUCAAUGUUUUGAGACCUUCAUAUAAUGGCUGCCGUUAUCUAAAAUUAAUAAACAGUUGUAGAUAUUCCUUUUGUAAUGUUGUCUUGAAAGCGUUUCUUUGAACAUUCUAUGCUACAAUUUGGAUGGUUGUAUCUACUUCUGGAAGUUAAGACCUCUGUCCAUCUCAUUUAUCUGUAAAUUGCUGCCAACCUUAUCAUGUUCUUUUCAAAUUUUGAAGAAUUCCUCUAUAAUUACAUCAAAUUGAAGUUUCAUCUCCCUUGCCUAGCGAAGUUGCUGAUUGCAAGGAUUUUCAUCUGUACAAAAACGAAAGCAGAAUUCGGUAGUGCUUCUCUUCUUAAUAUUUAAUGAAUGUCGCCUCUUGGCCGAUGAUGAACUUCAAAUUGCUGCCACUUUAUAACAACUUCAGACUUUAGAAUUUCUUUAUUGAUGGCUUCUUCAAAUAAGGUACAACUUCCAAUUUCAAGACCAACGGCCACUUUGUCUUCUGCUUUGCAGCAUGCAGUGGUGGAAAAAUCAUUGGUUCUGUAAACAGAAUGAGAUUCAACGCUUCAUAUUAAAUCUAACUUCUUCCUUCCAGUUGUGUGCUCAUUAUAAAGAAUUGCACAACUUGUGCAAGCUUCCUAUGCAGAUUCUGAGCAAAUUUUGUGGUUCCAGAUGCUUCCUGUGAUUCUGCAUAAGUUAUGCAGGCUGGUUGUAUAGAUUUUUCAUUCUUUGGAGUCCUCCGUGAAAGUGCAUAAGCAGACUGCAUAAGCUAUGCAGCUGGUUGUGCAAGUUUCGGCAGGUUUGGGUGCUCCUUACGUGAAGCUGCAUAAGCAAGGCAUGAGACUGCAUAAGUUAUGCAGCAAGUCAUGCAGAUCUCCGUGAAGCUGCAUAAGCGAGGAGUGAAUCUGCACAAGUUAUGCAGCAAGUCAUGCAGUGAAAGAUAAGCACAUGCACAUCCAUCAUUGACCCAUAAUUAUCAUCUCUUGUAAGGCAAGUACAUCCUGUUCUCUUCUUUAAAUUCUGUAAGCUACCACAUGACUUCUUCAAACAAUUGUAGUUUUCAAAUCACAUUGAACCUAUCAAAUCUGACUUCUAGUUUACUUUGUAAACUGACUCAAAAGAUUGUUUUCAUUAAGGAUUGACUGUUCAAGACUCCCAAUGACUUUCCUGUACAUUCCUGCUGUUGUUGAGUGAUUGGUUUUCUCCCCAUUUGCAUCAUUUAUUUAGCAGAUAUUUUGAGUGAAUAAUGGAAUGAAUUGUUGACCCAUAAUUCAAAGGAUGGGAAUCAUUCUGAUCAAGGUCAUUGUCAUCUAAACAGCUUAAUGCGGAGAUGGAAAAAGCCAAAUGAUAUUCAACAACAUUUUCUUCCAAUCUAAUUCACACGUUCGAUCGCACAAUGUGGAAAAAAUGACUACCUUUGAGUUUCUUCCAAAAAAAAUGUAAAGCAUUUGCCCCAAAUUGAAGCCCUAUCUUGUGAGCUUGAUGUGUUCAAAGUUUUAACUGGAAGUGUCACUGCAAAGAAAUCCAUACUAGAAUUUCAGCUUCUACAUGUUGCAGGAGAAUUGAUUUUCUAUGCAGAAACUGACAAGCUAUGCUUGCCCCUGGCCUGACGGAUAUUUUAAGUGUAAACAAUAUGACCAUUGAUCUUCAAAGAGUUAUGUGGAAGCACUUUAGACUCGGAUGAAGUUUUGGGUUUCAAUGCUUUGAGACCUUCAUAUAAUGGCUGCUGUCACCUGAAAUUAAUAAACAGUUGUAGAUAUUCCUUUUGUCGUGUUGCGUUGAAAGUGUUUCUUUGAACAUUCUAUGCUACAAUUUGGAUGGUUCUAUCUGCUUCUGCAAGUUAAGACCUCUGUCCAUCUCAUUUAUCGAUAAAUUGCUGGCAACAUUUUCAUGUUCUUUUCAAAUUUUGAAGUAUUCCUCUCUAAUUACGUCAAAUUGAAGUUUCAUCUCCCUUGCCUAGAGAAGCUGCUGAUUGCAAGGAUUUUCAUCUGUACAAUAACAAAUGCAGAAUGCUAUGGUGCUUCUCUUCUUAAUAUUUAAUGAAUGGCACCUCUUGGCCGUUGAUGAACUUCAAAUUGCUGCCACUUUAUAACAACCUCAGACUCUAGAAUUUCUUUAUUGAUGGCUUCUUCAAAUAAGGUACAACUUCCAUUUUGAAGAUCAACGGCUGCUUUGUCUUCUGAUAUGCAGCAUGCAGUGUUGGAAAAAUCAUUGGUUCUGUAAACAGAAUGAGAUUCAACACUUAAUAUUUCUUCAAAUCUAACUUAUUCCUUCCUUCCAGUUGUGUGGUACGUAUUAUUACUACUGGGUUGUUUUUUCUAUCUUUUAUUGUUAUAUUUUCUUUUAGAUGAACAAUUAAAUAUCAAACAGCCCAUAGUUUUACCGUUCUUUGAUUUGGUUUCCGGGAAAACAAAAUGAUAAUCAGGAGUUUCUUCUAGAAAAUGUAAAGCGUUUGCCCAAAAUUGAGGUCUAAUCUCCAGGCAUGUGAUAUGGAAGAAACAUGGUCUUUUCAAUGCUCCUCUGUUUUUAUUAUUAUUUUUUUUUAUAUAUGAGUUUUACAUUUUCAUAUAUUAUUUCCAUCUGUUUCUUCACUUUAGAAAUCAUUCAUGUGAUUGGUGAAUUGUUUGUAACUUUUUUUCAGUUCUUAAUGUUGUUGAAGAUUAAUGCAGCAAAUGGAGGAACUUCUGAUACUGUUAUCCUUUUAAUGCUGUUCUGCAAAUAUUGUGAAUCAGUAGAUUGAAGCAUUUCCAUGUGCAGGGGAAAAGCAGUUGUGAAUAGGCCUGUCUUAUGCAAGAAAGUGUUUGUUUUGUGAAAGAGAAGUACA